GAGCAAGCGUUGUUCGGAAUCACUGGGCGUAAAGGGUGUCUAGGCGGUCAGGUAAGUGAGAUGUGAAAUGCCCCGGCUUACCCGGGGACCUGCAUCUCACUGCCUGGCUUGAGUAUGGGAGAGGAUGGGGGAAUUCCUGGUGUAGCGGUGAAAUGCGUAGAUAUCAGGAGGAACACCGGUGGCGAAAGCGCUCAUCUGGCCCAAUACUGACGCUGAAGCACGAAAGCUAGGGGAGCAAACGGG
rnacentral:rRNA from 1 species